UACGUAGGGUCCGAGCGUUGUCCGGAAUUACUGGGCGUAAAGCGUGCGCAGGCGGUUUUGUAAGUCUGUCGUGAAAGCCCCGGGCUCAACCUGGGAAUUGCGAUGGAGACUGCAAGGCUUGAAUCUGGCAGAGGGGGGUAGAAUUCCACGUGUAGCAGUGAAAUGCGUAGAUAUGUGGAGGAACACCGAUGGCGAAGGCAGCCCCCUGGGCCUGCACUGACGCUCAUGCACGAAAGCGUGGGGAGCAAACAGG
rnacentral:rRNA from 1 species